UAUGGCCAUAUCAUGUUGAAACACAGGUUCUUCUCUGAUCACCAAAGUUCAUCAAUCUCGAGCCUGAUCAGUACCUAGAUGGGUGAAUGUUUGGGAAUACAAGGUGCUGUAA